UGAUUCCAUGUUUCUACGACAUUGUCAUACAACCUUUAGCCAUGUGGCUGUGUAAUUUUCAGUUAGAACAAACAUAUUGGUGAAGAGAAAAUCCACAUUAAAUCAAUAUUUGCCAGGGGUAUCAAUCAUUUUGUUCUUAAAGGUAUAUAGAGAGAAAGAGAGAGAGAGA